AUACCUAAUACUAGUUAUACUAUUGGAGUGAGAGCAUAUACUAGUAUUGGACCAGGAGAAUGGACUGAUAGAGAUUACACUACUGGUCAAAUACAUGUCACUCUAAGUUCUACUUUAGUAUCAACUUCAAGUACUUUAAUGGUAUCAGCAGUGACAAGUACUGGUACUUCAAUGAGAAGUAAAUUAUCAAGUACAACUCUGAUGACAACAACACUACCAAGUAAUACUAUGCUGCCUAACACUAAUGGAAACUUAGCAGUUAUUUAUGUAGCAGCUGGGGCUGUUGUGCCAUUAUUAAUUAUGAUUAUAAUAAUUGUCAUUAUUAUCAUAAUCAUAUUAAAGUAAGUAUAAAUUGACACUAUAUAUAACUAUAAUGGAAGAAAUAGGAAAAAGAGAGUUGGAAAGAAAUACGAUGUGGCUACUAAAAAUGGUUUGACUGAUAAACCAUCAAGUAGUGAACUUGAUGUUUCUACAUGCAACAUCAAUAAUAAAUCUUAUGAAAGUGUUGAAUUAGAAAAUAUUCAAGAGGCAACCUACAGUACAGUAAUGAAGCCUAAAAAGCCAGUGAUAGAAGAGUUCCCUAGUAAUGUGACAACUGAGGAAGGUCGUCGGGU
rnacentral:lncRNA from 1 species